rnacentral:lncRNA from 1 species
AAUAAUCAAUGGAUGAUGGAAUGGCUAAGGGGUUCUUCUCCACACAUGAAAUAUAUGCAACCUAAAUCAAUUUUUCAGUUAUCAAUUUAAUAAGUUAUGAAUUUCGACACUCCAAGUUAAUUAGGUCCGCUUAAAUUAACCUUCAGAUUUCCCUAGAAUCAUUGAAUUGGAUGAAUAUGCAUCGCAAACAAAUUAUUCCCAACAAGUUCUUUAUAUGAACAGCAUGAUAAAGACACAAGUUAGAAUCAUUACGUUCUUUGGAAAUCAUAAGCAU